rnacentral:rRNA from 1 species
ACGGAAGGCAGCAGUGGGGAAUAUUGCACAAUGGGGGAAACCCUGAUGCAGCGACGCCGCGUGAGUGAAGAAGUAUUUCGGUAUGUAAAGCUCUAUCAGCAGGAAAGAAAAUGACGGUACCUGACUAAGAAGCCCCGGCUAACUACGUGCCAGCAGCCGCGGUAAUACGUAGGGGGCAAGCGUUAUCCGGAUUUACUGGGUGUAAAGGGAGCGUAGACGGCUUUGCAAGUCUGAAGUGAAAGCCCGGGGCUCAACCCCGGAACUGCUUUGGAAACUGUAGAGCUAGAGUGCAGGAGAGGUAAGUGGAAUUCCUAGUGUAGCGGUGAAAUGCGUAGAUAUUAGGAGGAACACCAGUGGCGAAGGCGGCUUACGGGACUGUAACUGACGUUGAGGCUCGAAGGCGUGGGGAGCAAACAGGAUUAGAUACCCUGGUA